UUGAAUUAGGCAGUAUAUUAGCUGACCGUGGGCGUGGGCUUCAGAAUGUGCUGUUUAUUCGGCCCCAGGCUUCCAGGUCGAGCCCAGCUGGCCCCAACGAGGAUGACUGACUCUGACUCUGUUUCUCGCUGCUACCCCUGCCUCCACGAGGGGACCUGUGUCUUUGGGUUUUCAAGAUAGUCCAUGCCAUUGACCAGGCCUGGAGAAGCCUGGGGGGGGGGGCCACCGCCUGGGGGGUGACUGGACGGGUAGGGUUUCAGGCUUGCGCCCCCGUCCCGUCCAAGCCUGGAGGCCUAGGAACCCGGGCUGCGGCUGGGGCGCCUCCCACCAUGGGCGAGGCGUUCCAGCCCCUCCCCGCUCUGGGCUGGGUUUUCCCUUGUGAAUGCAGGUUCCGGGAACUCUGGCCACCCUCCUUUCUGAGUUCCCGUGGGGUCCACACCCGCCCCUGGGCUGCCAACUGGGUCAGCGGUGUGGGGGCGGUGCUGCCCACACUGGCUGCUUCCCUGCCGACUCCUGCAGCCUCGGAAACCCAAUUUCACCUCAAUAUCGACGUGUGGGCCGAGACAGCCUUGUUCAAAGGCAGACUAUCCAUUGUGAGCCGGAAGCAGACAAUGGAACGGCUGUGUCGCUCCAUUGCCACCGUCCUAAUUACAGGAGAACACUGAGCUCACAGCAGUUUCAGACGGGAGCAAAUCUUCAGAAAGGAUUGUCCUCGUUUUCCCUCCACAGACAGGAAAGGCCAGGAGGCCUCCUUUACUUGUCGGAUGUGUGGAUUCAGGACAGUCCGGCCCAGCGCCUCCCAGGAUUGCUGGUGCAGACGGAGAUGAGGCGCUUGUGGGGUCCUCUGCACGCGGGAAGCAGCCCCCACCGAAGGGUCCCUGCCCGUUCCGCACUCACGGCGCUGCCCAAGCACCCCCCGCCCCCCGGCCCAGCUCCCCUUCCUUCGGGAAGAGGCCCCACCAGUCUCGGUUGGUCGGGGUGUCACACCCUGCAUUCUCCUGGACUCAGGCCCCUGCACUCCUUUCUUGUCAUCUCUCCCCCUCGAGGAGCAUCAGCACCCCCCAGUUGUCUCUGCCCCAGAUCAGCGCCAGGCACUUAGUACAGACGAUUGUGUGUGGGUGGAGCAAAUGCAUGGGCGUCUGGUCUGGGGAGCACGUGAGCACAUGGCUGGCUAACAGAUUAACUGGUGUGUUCCGCAUCAUCGAAGUACCCGGAGCAGGUGCUGUGGAGGAACCCCUGGACUACCUGGGCACCUGGAACAGGAGCUGUGUGAGUCCCACAAGCUCACAGACCAGCAGGAGGAGUGGCCGGUCCGCAGCAGCCCAGCAGCUGCAGCUGUGGGGGCAGGAAACACAGGGGCCCUGCAGGCGGGGCUCCGGAGGAGGGGACACAGGUGCGCCGGCCCCGGUCGGCAGCCUCCUGCCACCUGCUCUGCCAGCUCGGGGGCGCAGCCCUGCCCUCUCCCAGGGGGGCCUCUGCUUUGGGCCUCGAGCUCCCAGCCUCAGGGAGGACCGCAGAGAGGACUCGCGGCAGCCGCAUGCUGACAGAGCUCUGCCGAGUCCGGCUCAGGUGGGCACCUGGACUGUGCCAUCACUGUAGGAGCUCUGGAACAUCCCUGACAUCUUUCUGGAGGUUCUCUCUGUCUCGUCUCACCGACAGAAUCCCCAUGGCAGCCCUGCGUGAAGGCGGCUGCAGGGGUCUCGCCUGGCGGAGAGAGCCCAGGGUGCUCCUUCCUUGAGGGAUCGCUGAGUAGCAAACAGAAACCUCUGCCAGGCUGAGUCCAGCACGUGCUUAUUAAAAUCUGUGUACGUCGAGAACUUUUUUUCCAAAGCUCUUUUAUUAGAACAAGAAUAUGUGGAUUUAGAGAAUGAGGAACACUUCUCGGACAGAGAGAUGGUAGAAAUCUGCUCACUCCCAGCAGGCAGGCCAGGGCCCAGUCCGAGGAGGGUCCAAGCAAGAACUGGGAUGCUCUGGGGGUGAAAAAAAAAACCCCUCCAAAGGCAGAAUGUAUACUCUCUCUCAUCCAUCUCCCUGAGCCUAACCCUGCCGGCCCGCCCAUCUCUGAGGAGCAGAAAGAGAAGAAAGGGGCUUUAGAAAUGACCUCCUCGUAACAAAGUGAGGAUGUCAGGGGUCCUGGGAAGGACUCUGCUCCAGGGAACCAGGGGGUCGGGACUGGCGGCUGUGCCCUGGCCUCCCCUCCAGGAAGUCAGCCUGGCCCCUCCCAACAGGGUGUCUCCGGAAGGAGCAAGACCGGGACGUGGGGAGCCGCCGGGUCCCAGUGGCCUCCUCUCCCCAGCAGCUCCGUGUGGAUGCCGCUGUGAGUAGGGCUCAGCCCCCGAGCUCCCUCACCCUGCCGUGACACGCGGGGCCAUCACUGAGGAGGAAACGGAAAAGGAGGACUGAGGCUGCGUUCACAUCAGGCUCCCAGAACAGCGGUGAGGACCGAGCUCAGCAAACAUCGGCCGUUCCAGGGCUACGGUCACUGCCGCUCAGCCCACUGACCCUGGGCCCCAGACCACAGAGGUGACCAAACCACCCCCAGCUUCGCGGCGUCACUGUGAGGACCACAGGGAUAAAGCCGUAGGCCCACGCGCAUUGUGACAUGGGUGGUUCCGGGAGACUGGCCUUGUGCUGACGAGUGAGGGAGCCGGAAGGUCCGCUGUGUGCCUGAAACUUGCCAAGGGCACUGACUCGAAAGCAGGCAGGACUUGGGCUUCCUGGGAGCUGACCUGCUGACUCACCAGAUGCACAGGGCAGUGUCAUCCUGAUGGCGAUACGUGAGUCUGGUCGCCCGGGACACCAAAACAAGAGCUGAAAUGCAGAAAGUGCAGGAAAGAGGACGCAGCAACGGGACUCCAUUUGCUCUGAGUUCUGAUCUGCUUUUCCUGGGUCACUGGCUAACGUGGAGCCGUGUGUGGACAGCUCUCAGGAUGUGUCACCGCACACACCAGGAGGAAGAACAGGAAAGUGCCUGAAGAAACAGGUGGGAAUCACACUUUUAAUGCCGUUCCCUGGGCCCCAGGCUCCAGGCUGUGCCUGACACUGGACCAGACGGUGGUCUCUCACCCACAACACCUGGGCGGGGAAGGGGACCACUGAGAUGUCCACGCACACAGUGGCGGAAGGACUCACGCGAGGUCACAGAGCUGGUACUUGGCAGGUACAGGGUUGGAGCCGCCAACUCCAGACCUGCCCCUUAGGGGAGGGCUCAGGAGGUGCCCCGACAGCCUGAGAUCACACAGUGAGGGGCUGCCUGGUACCGGUGAUUGCUGGCUUCCGACCUCCUCUCACCGGUUCAGGUUAACUUUGCCCCGUUGCUCCUUCCCCACUGAUUCUUGCUCUGAGAAAACUGUUCAGGAGAAAGCAGCUGAAAGACAGAAAAAAACUCAGCUAACAGAGAAUUUGAAUAAAAAUGACUUAGUAAAGAGAUCAGAUGGUGUAAGGCAUCAGAAUAAUGACGAACCAUUUUAGACAAAAACUAGUUCCUGCAAUGGAUGGCCUUUCAUUUUCAUUAUAUCAAAAGCUGGUGGAGGUCUGGCGAAAAUAAGAAGGACUAAGAAUUAAAGGAAAGCUCUUUGGGGGAAAAUUCUGAGUCUGAACGGAAUACAGUCGAACUUGUGUGCUGAAAUGUCCCAAAAUAAGUGCUUCUGAGAAAUGAAGCACUAAAGUAAGUGAGUUGACUAUGUAUAAAAAUAGAUAUAAAACAAAUUUCUUCUGUAUAACAGGGAACUAUAUUCAAUAUCUUGUAAUAACCUUCAAUGGAAAAGAACAUGAAAAAGAGUAUGUAUAUAUAUGUAUGACUGGGACAUUGUGCUGUACACCAGAAACUAAUACAUUGUAACUGACUGUACUUCAAUUAAAAAAAAAUAAAGUAAGUGAGUUGACACACUGA